rnacentral:rRNA from 1 species
GAAGGGUGCGAGCGUUAAUCGGAAUAACUGGGCGUAAAGGGCAUGUAGGCGGUGAGUUAAGUCAGAUGUGAAAUCCCCGAGCUCAACUUGGGAAUGGCAUUUGAAACUGGGUCGCUAGAGUUUUCUAGAGGGGGUAGAAUUCCAGGUGUAGCGGUGAAAUGCGUAGAUAUCUGGAGGAAUACCGGUGGCGAAGGCGGCCCCCUGGAGAAAGACUGACGCUGAGGUGCGAAAGCGUGGGAGCAAACAGGAUUAGAUACCCUGGUAGUCCACGCUGUAAACGAUGUCGAUUUGGAGGUUGCGGUCUUGAACUGUGGCGUCCGGAGCUAACGCGUUAAAUCGACCGCCUGGGGAGUACGGCCGCAAGGUUA